UGCUGGAUAGUAAAAUUAUUGAAGUCUUUACAUCUGAUACAUGUAGUGGAAGGUGUUGGUGAAGAUAAAGACCAGAUUGAAGUCAAUAAUUUCACCCUCAUCAAUUUUGUUCUGAAGCUUGUUGGGCCUACACAUGAACAAACUCUUACAAUUUAUAUGCUUCUUAUUCAAGUCAUGUGCAGUGUUUGUGCAUUUAUCAUUCGUUACCAACUUGCAAGACUUUUCUAUGAUAUCGUUGAUUAAUUAUUUUCAUAUCGUUAAUUGUUGAUGAGUUGAAGAAACUUUACUUUGUAAGAUUAAGAACAAGUAUGUAACCAAAAAUGCAAUUUAUAUAAUUAAACAUACAGAUGUAUGGACAAUAGAAUGGGUACUAAGUGGUACCAUAAGCAUCCAAUUUUACAGCUUCACUCUUGUGUAUGGUUUAGAGCAACAUUUUGAGAUCAUGUGGACAAGAAAUAUUACCUUUUUAUAAUUUGAACAUCAGUGAAGUAUUUCAUGAUGAAUACUCAGUGAAAUAGCCAAAAUGUAAAUCAUUGCAAAUAAGCAUAAAACAUAUGUGGUCUCAAAAGAUGUAUACCUAUUUUAAAAUAUGUUAAUUAAUUUUGAGUUAAUAACAAUGAUAGAAUGAAGUAAAAUUUUAAAAUAACUGUUAAACAGUUGGGUGGGUAGGACAUUUUGUUGGAUAGAUGUUAUGGAUGAGAGAAAAUUAGUGUACUGUAGUUACAAAACAUUUACUAAUGAAACAAUAAAAACUUGUUUAUUUCAUACUUUUAUUCCACUACAGAACUGUUUCGUAUGUUCAGCCAAGCUGGCUACACUGAUCAGGUGAAUGUACAACUGAUACAAUAUUAAGGGAGAGUUAGAAUACAAAUGAUUGAGAAGCAGAUAACAGUGAUUGCCUCAGUUGUACACAUCCACCAGAUGAGUAGUCAGCCAAGCAGGCUCCAUUCAUCAGGUGCAUGUACAACUGAUACAAUAUUAAGGGUGAGUUAGAAUGAAAAUGGUAGAGAAGCAGAUAGUGAACAAUGGUUGUAUCGGGUGUAUGCAUCCACCUGAUGAGUGUUGUCAGCUCCACUGACUAUACAUUUGUAAUGAAAAAAGUAUGAAGGAAAAAAGUUUAUUAUUUUCUGUUUAUAAACACUGAAUUAGCUGUACUUCUGUAUUGAUAAAAAAUGUGUCAUAAUAAGAAAAUCCAAGGGUGUAAAGCACUUGGCCUCAUAGCUUAUAU